GACGUAGGAGGCGAGCGUUAUCCGGAUUCACUGGGCGUAAAGCGCAUGUAGGCGGCUGGACAAGUCGUGUGUUAAAGCCCCUGGCUCAACUGGGGGAGGUCAUGCGAGACUGUUCGGCUUGAGGGCAACAGAGGCACGUGGAACUCCCGGUGUAGCGGUGGAAUGCGUAGAGAUCGGGAAGAACACCAGUGGCGAAGGCGACGUGCUGGGUUGCAGCUGACGCUGAGAUGCGAAAGUGUGGGGAGCAAACGGG
rnacentral:rRNA from 1 species